rnacentral:rRNA from 1 species
CGGGUGAGUAAUAUAUAGUUAAUGAGCCUUGAAGACCGGGAUAGCCAUUGGAAACGAUGAUUAAUACUGGAUAUACCUUCUAAUCGUAAGAUUAGUCGGGAAACGUUUUUUCGCUUCGAGAUCAGACUAUAUCCAUCAGCUUGUUGGUGAGGUAAGAGCUCACCAAGGCAAUGACGGGUAGCGGGUUUGAGAGGAUGAUCCGCCACACUGGUACUGAGACACGGACCAG